AUGCGUUGCAGUAGCAGGGGGAAGGAUAACAUGCCUAGGGAGGUCAACAAAAGGAGCAAGAGGAUACACAUACCCAAUGCACAAGAUGGUUGCGGCGCGUCGCUUCCGUACGAGAUGAUCAUACAGGUUUUGCAGUGGCUCCCAGUCAAAUCCGUCUUCCGCUUCAGGGCAGUUUGCCGUUCCUGGGCUGCGCUGCUCACCUCCAGUGAAUUCCGCUGCCUCCACAUGGCAGUAGCCAAGGCACCAAGGUGGCAGGCACCACCACCCAAGCUGCUAUACAUCUCACCUACUGCCACAUUCGACUCCACCGCGGUCUACUCGUGCUCCUUCUCGCCAUCAUUAUCAUCGGGCCGCCCCAGAGAUCGUGGGGACCUACUAUUCACCAUCGACGGUGCCCGUGGCAACUAUGUGGAGGUAGUGACGCCCGCGCCGUGCCAUGGCCUCACCCUUCUCUACGAUGCUCUCGACACAGCCUACUACAUCUGCAACGCGGCCACACGGGCAGCCACACGUUUGCCGCCUUCUACUGACGUAGCGUGCGACUCCAGUGCUGGGCUGGGAUUUGAUACCCGCAUGGAUGAGCACAAGGUGGUGAGGUUGAUCAAUGGGAUGUUAAGUCAGAAGGACUUGGACCCGGUGAGGUGCGAGGUGUACACGCCUAGAGGCCCCUAUGUGGAUUGCCGCUGGAGGCCGGCUGCCAGAGGAGUACCCUCCAGCUUGCAUAAAUUUGUACAUGCCGCUGUUAUUAAUGCGUCAUGCAACAAAUUAUCUCCCGUGUUUGCCAAUGGUUGCCUCCACUGGUUGAUGACACCUGCCUCUUUCAUCAUGACUCCAAGUGUUGCCAUCGUGUCCUUUUCGGUCGCAGAGGAGACCUUCACAUGUCUCCGGUCACCGCCCUUCUGGGUACCAGGAGCGCCUCCAACCUCCAGGAAUUGGUCAUCAGGAGAGGUUGAACUAUUGGAGCUGGAUGACCAACUAUGUUUGGUUCGCAACAGAAUGCCUCAUGGUAGUAACACUUUGGAGAUAUGGAAACUGCUGGACUAUAGCUCUGGUGACUGGUUGCUGAAUCAUCGAAUUAGUUUGUCAGGGCAUCUGGCAAGGGAUUUGCGUCAGUCACAAAUUCUGAGAGUUAUUGGAUCCUUUGGCAGUUACAGGUCGUCAAGGAAGAAGAUAAUCAUUACUACUAGCAUGCACAAGAUUUUCAACAAAUAUCAGAAAAUGGUUCACACCUAUGAUCCUAGGUCUGAGGCUCUGGAAACCAUUCUUUCAAUCACGGAGACACACUCAACUCCACAUUAUGGGUGCCCUAGUUCAAGAUUCAGUUUCAUUCAAGAGACCCUUGCUCCCGUGCAUACAACAGAUGAAGAGAUAGCCUUGUCAUCUGACCUGGCUAAGGCGACUAGAGAGAUCCUACUCCGCCUCCCAGCUAAAUCAGCCAUACAGUCCAAAUUUGUCUGCAAGCAGUGGUUCAGAUUGAUUGAGAGUAAAAACUUCAUUCAGUCAUAUUUUCAGCAUAAGAACAUAGGCAAAAGGCCUAAAGUCAUGCUUGUGGUCAAGAGCACUGGACGAUUGGGCUUCAGUUUUGCUCCAUUGAAUAAACGCCUCCAAGAAGCUCCUAGUCACAGUACAUUGCUUGAUACAAAGGUGGUUUGCUCCAAGCCUUGCCAUGGGCUGAACUUGGUAAGCACCGAUACGAACGACUACCUCUGCAAUCCAUGUACAGGUUUCCACAGGGCCUACUCUAACCUGGGGCCAAAUUUGCACCUACGCUCGAGAAUGCCUAAAACAGAAGAGCAUGCUUUUACAGUCGGCAAUAAAAAUGUUGGCUUGACUUUCUACCCUUUGACUCGUGAACAUGUUAUCGUGGAAAUCUUCUAUCACCGGAAGGACUUUGAAUCUCGUCAGUAUGACAUGUCAUGCGCGUUACACUGGUGUAACACUCCGAAUGCUGCCCAACAGCACUCGGUACCACCUCUGCCUGUGAAUGAUAUGCCACCGGCCUAUGUUGAAGGAAUGUUGUAUUGGAUGAAUGAACCAAGGUUGGGACAGAGCUGCGAAUGGACCAUUGUCUCUUUCAACCUUGCUACAAGUACUUUCGAUGUCGUCCGGUGCCCUUUGUGGUUUGCAAGAUGGAGUAGCAGAAACCGCUGUCGUGCAUUUGUUGUUGAGCUUGAGGGAGUGUUAUGUGCUGUUCUAGCAGAUCCAGUUGCAGACAAAUUAGAUGUAUGGAAGCUAGAGCAUGGCCAAUGGGGCAGAGCAUACACAAUUCACCUGGAAGCAUGCCCUGGCUAUUCCCUCAAGACAAGCGUUGUGGUGCCAUUAGCUGUUGAUCCCGAUCAUGGGAGGAUCCUGCUCAAUACUGGUAGGAAAAUAGGUCUAUAUGAUCCAGUAGAGCAAACAAUUCAAAAUCUGUAUUCACUUGAUCAGGUGCCGGUUGCCAGUAGUGCACACCUUAAGUUUCUUGAUAUGCCUUCAACUUCAUCAGGGGAUAGUUUGACAUGCUCCGAAGAAGAGUCAGUGGCGGAGACAAAUAGAAUGGACUCUAACUUGAUUCCUUCUGUUCCUAUGUUAUAUGAGGAGAGCCUGGCAUGUUACUCCUUUGUGCGCAAAGCAAACUGCUUGUGGUGA
rnacentral:rRNA from 1 species